rnacentral:rRNA from 1 species
UACGUAGGGUGCGAGCGUUGUCCGGAAUUAUUGGGCGUAGAGAGCGUGUAGGCGGCCCGAUUAGUCCGCUGUGAAAGUCCAGGGCUCAACCCUGGAAUGCCGGUGGAUACUGUCGGGCUAGAGUCCGGAAGGGGCGAGUGGAAUUCCUGGUGUAGCGGUGAAAUGCGCAGAUAUCAGGAGGAACACCAAUGGCGAAGGCAGCUCGCUGGGACGUGACUGACGCUGAGACGCGAAAGCGUGGGGAGCAAACAGG